UGAUCUCCCGCUUGCGGGGGUGAUUAGUGGCGAACGGGUGAGUAAUACGUGAGUAACCUGCCCUUGACUCUGGGAUAAGCCUGGGAAACCGGGUCUAAUACUGGAUACGACCCUCUGUCGCAUGGUGGGGGGUGGAAAGGGUUUGACUGGUUUUGGAUGGGCUCACGGCCUAUCAGCUUGUUGGUGGGGUAAUGGCUCACCAAGGCGACGACGGGUAGCCGGCCUGAGAGGGUGACCGGCCACACUGGGACUGAGACACGGCCCAGACUCCUACGGGAGGCAGCAGUGGGGAAUAUUGCACAAUGGGCGGAAGCCUGAUGCAGCGACGCCGCGUGAGGGAUGACGGCCUUCGGGUUGUAAACCUCUUUCAGCAGGGAAGAAGCCACAAGUGACGGUACCUGCAGAAGAAGCGCCGGCUAACUACGUGCCAGCAGCCGCGGUAAUACGUAGGGCGCAAGCGUUGUCCGGAAUUAUUGGGCGUAAAGAGCUCGUAGGCGGUUUGUCGCGUCUGCUGUGAAAGCCCGGGGCUCAACCCCGGGUCUGCAGUGGGUACGGGCAGACUAGAGUGCAGUAGGGGAGACUGGAAUUCCUGGUGUAGCGGUGAAAUGCGCAGAUAUCAGGAGGAACACCGAUGGCGAAGGCAGGUCUCUGGGCUGUUACUGACGCUAAGGAGCGAAAGCAUGGGGAGCGAACAGGAUUAGAUACCCUGGUAGUCCAUGCCGUAAACGUUGGGCACUAGGUGUGGGGGACAUUCCACGUUCUCCGCGCCGUAGCUAACGCAUUAAGUGCCCCGCCUGGGGAGUACGGCCGCAAGGCUAAAACUCAAAGGAAUUGACGGGGGCCCGCACAAGCGGCGGAGCAUGCGGAUUAAUUCGAUGCAACGCGAAGAACCUUACCAAGGCUUGACAUUCACCGGACCGCCUCACAGAUGGGGUUUCUCUUCGGGGUCGGUGGACAGGUGGUGCAUGGUUGUCGUCAGCUCGUGUCGUGAGAUGUUGGGUUAAGUCCCGCAACGAGCGCAACCCUCGUUCUAUGUUGCCAGCACGUGAUGGUGGGGAC
rnacentral:rRNA from 1 species